GACGAACGCUGGCGGCGUGCUUAACACAUGCAAGUCGAACGAGAGGACAAGAGAAGCUUGCUUCUUUUGGAAUCGAGUGGCAAACGGGUGAGUAACACGUAAACAACCUGCCUUCAGGAUGGGGACAACAGACGGAAACGACUGCUAAUACCGAAUACGCUUGGGAGACCGCAUGAUCUUCCAAGGAAAGGGUGGCCUCUACUUGUAAGCUAUCGCCUGAAGAGGGGUUUGCGUCUGAUUAGGCAGUUGGUGAGGUAACGGCCCACCAAACCUACGAUCAGUAGCCGGUCUGAGAGGAUGAACGGCCACACUGGAACUGAGACACGGUCCAGACUCCUACGGGAGGCAGCAGUGGGGAAUCUUCCGCAAUGGGCGAAAGCCUGACGGAGCAACGCCGCGUGAGUGAUGACGGCCUCGGUGUAAAGGUACUCUGUGAUCGGGACGAACGGUCCGUAAGCCAAUACC
rnacentral:rRNA from 1 species